UUACAAUUAGAACAUAAUAAAAUAACUAAAUAAUUGUGUUCGUCGUAAAUAUUAAGCUGUAAGAUUAAUCAAAUACGCUAAAAUACGGUAAUUAAAAUUAUAGUAAUGGCAGCACUGCAGAUGACAAUGGCAUUGACUGACAACUGACUAAUAAAGCUUCGCCUGAUUUAUUCUGUUGUACGCCAUUGUACGCUCAACGCUGUUUGUUACACAUCACGUGAUUACCCUAGUUUUUCUUAAGUUUUGAUCUUUGCUUCACCCUCGGACUUCUUUCUGUGCCCCAUACUACGACUUGUGCAUUCUCACGAAUAAUCACUGGUUUAUACGAAUAACUACGACAAAUACUUUUUUUUCUCUAACGGACUCCGAUUGUGCCUUCGAUUUGAAUAUUGUGCGCUUUUAUCAUGGAUAGCAGGCGUACGCGCAUAUUGUGCGUGAAUUGUAAUAUCUGCGUAAAUACUCUUCGCCGAUAUCGGAUUUUCGAUCAAAACACGAGAGUGUGUACGGUGCUCUGCAACUGGAUUUAUCCACAAAUCAUUACUGAUGACGAUUAUGUUUGUGAAGAAUGUUGGGAACUUUCGAUGGCUGCAGUAAACCAGAAUCUUCAACAAAAUACUGCUAAUGAACUACAAGCUGGAACAAGUCAGCGCGGUCAUACCAAUGUUUGUAUUUUAUGUGGCUGUUCCCUGGUACGAAGACAAAGUGACAAAAUAUUAAAAGAUAAUCCCACUGAAAUCCAACUGCAGAUGAUUGAAAAAAUUAAACGCUAUAAGGAACCACAGCAGGU